rnacentral:lncRNA from 1 species
CUUGUUCAGCCAUGUUAUUAAAAUCAAGUUCACAAUCAGAAUCAAAUAAGUUGUGCAAAUAGUCAGAAUCAGAAUCGCUAAUGGGUAGUGAACUAGUGCUAGCUUGAUUUGCUCUACGGCGUGCGUGCAAGGCUCUCUCUAUCUCAGGAUCAAAAUCAAAAAGAUCAGAACAACCAGACUUAGUAGCCAGAACUAAUGUAGCAACAAAUGUGAAAAU